GAUAGUGUGGCCGAGUGGUCAAUGGCUUUGGUUUUAGACACCAGUCUCUUCGGAGGCAAGGGUUCGAAUCCCUUCACUGUCA
rnacentral:tRNA from 1 species